AACGAACGCUGGCGGCAGGCCUAACACAUGCAAGUCGGGCGCCCCGCAAGGGGAGCGGCAGACGGGUGAGUAACGCGUGGGAACGUGCCCUUCGGUUCGGAAUAACUCAGGGAAACUUGAGCUAAUACCGGAUACGUCCGUAAGGAGAAAGAUUUAUUGCCGAAGGAGCGGCCCGCGUCCGAUUAGCUAGUUGGUGAGGUAACGGCUCACCAAGGCGACGAUCGGUAGCUGGUCUGAGGAGAU
rnacentral:rRNA from 1 species